rnacentral:rRNA from 1 species
UACAGAGGGUGCGAGCGUUAAUCGGAAUUACUGGGCGUAAAGCGCGCGUAGGCGGCUUUGCAAGUCGGGUGUGAAAUCCCCAGGCUUAACCUGGGAGCUGCAUUCGAGACUGCAUUGCUAGAGUAUGGGAGAGGGAAGUGGAAUUUCCGGUGUAGCGGUGAAAUGCGUAGAUAUCGGAAGGAACAUCAGUGGCGAAAGCGACUUCCUGGACCAAUACUGACGCUCAUGUGCGAAAGCGUGGGGAGCAAACAGG